rnacentral:rRNA from 1 species
GAUAAACGCUUGCGGCGUGCCUUAUGCAUGCAUGUCGAACGGUUUUUUGGUUUUCGGAUCAAAGGAUAGUGGCGAAUGGGUGAGUAACACGUAAGUAACCUGCCCCCGAGUAGAGAAUAACUCCGAGAAAUUGGGGCUAAUACUUUAUGUGGUGCUGGGGGUAAUGCUCCAUCACUAAAGCCUUAGGGCGCUUAGGGAGGGGCUUGCGUCCGAUUAGCUAGUUGGUAGAGUAACGGUUUACCAAGGCGAUGAUCGGUAGCUGGUUUGAGAGGAUGGUCAGCCACACUGGGACUGAGAUACGGCCCAGACUCCUACGGGAGGCAGCAGCAAGGAAUUUUGUGCAAUGGGCGAAAGCCUGACACAGCGACGCUGCGUGGGGGAUGAAGGCUUUCGGGUUGUAAACCCCUUUUCUCAGGGAGGAAUAAUGACAGUACCUGAGGAAUAAGCCAUGGCUAACUACGUGCCAGCAGCCGCGGUAAAACGUAGGUGGCGAGCGUUAUCCGGAUUUAUUGGGCGUAAAGAGGGCGCAGGCGGCUUUUCAAGUCGGAUGUAAAAUCUCCCAGCUUAACUGGGAGGGAUCAUUCGAUACUGUUAGGCUAGAGGACAACAGGGGGAGGUAGAAUUCCCGGUGUAGUGGUGAAAUGCGUAGAUAUCGGGAGGAAUACCAGUGGCGAAGGCGGCCUCCUGGGUUGUUACUGACGCUUAAGCCCGAAGGCGUGGGGAGCAAACAGGAUUAGAUACCCUGGUAGUCCACGCUGUAAACUAUGGACACUGGGUAUAGGGAGUAUCGACCCUCUCUGUGCCGAAGCUAACGCGUUAAGUGUCCCGUCUGGGAACUACGGCCGCAAGGUUA